rnacentral:rRNA from 1 species
CCUACGGGUGGCAGCAGUCGAGAAUCAUGCACAAUGGGGGAAACCCUGAUGGGGCGACGCCGCGUGGGGGAAUGAAGGUCUCCGGAUUGUAAACCCCUGUCAUGUGGGAGCAAAUUAGAAAGAUAGUACCACAAGAGGAAGAGACGGCUAACUCUGUGCCAGCAGCCGCGGUAAUACGGAGGUCUCACGGGUUGAUCGGACUCACUGGGCGUAAAGCGGGCGUAGGCGGUUUCGCAAGUCUGGUGUGAAAGGCGCGGGCUCAACCCGCGGACGGCACAUGAUACUGCGAGACUAGAGUAAUGGAGGGGGAAGCGGAAUUCUCGGUGUAGCCGUGAAAUGCGUAGAUAUCGAGAGGAACACUCGUGGCGAAGGCGGCUUCCUGGACAUUAACUGACGCUGAGGCACGAAAGCCAGGGGAGCGAAAAGGAUUAGAUACCCUGGUAGUC